rnacentral:rRNA from 1 species
AUUGCACGCUGGCGGCAGCCCUAACACAUGCAAGUCGAACGAGUGGCGGACGGGUGAGUAAUGUCUGGGAAACUGCCCGAUGGAGGGGGAUAACUACUGGAAACGGUAGCUAAUACCGCAUACCAUCGGAUGUGCCCAGAUGGGAUUAUCUAGUAGGUGGGGUAACGGCUCAACUAGGCGACGAUCCCUAGCUGGUCUGAGAGGAUGACAACCCACACUGGAACUGAGAUACGGUCUAGACUGCUACGGAAGGGAGCAGUGGGGACUAUUGCACAAUUGGCGGAAGCCUGAUGCAGCCAUGCCGCGUGUAUGAAGAUGGCCUUCGGGUUUUAAAGUACUUUCAGCGAGGAGGCGUUACGCGCAGAAGAAGCACCGGCUAACUCCGUGCCAGCAGCCGCGGUAAUAC